rnacentral:rRNA from 1 species
GCUAUAAAGCUAGCUUAAACACAACAACUAAACAACAACAUUAAUAAGUUUAUAAAAACUAGAAUAAAUUAACCAAAACAUUUUUCCGUCCAAGUAUAUGUGAUAAAAAAGACACAAUAAAGCAAUAGAUAAAGUACCACAAGGGAAAGCUGAAAAAGAAAUGAAAUAAACCAUCAAAGCACAAUAAAGCAGAGACUAAAACUCGUACCUUUUGCAUCAUGAUUUAGCUAGUUACUCUGAGCAAAGAGCACUUUAGUUCAAAACCCCGAAACUAAGUGAGCUACCCCAAGACAGUCUAUUAUAUAGGACCAACCCGUCUCUGUGGCAAAAGAGUGGGAAGAUCUUAGGGUAGGGGUGACAGACCUACCGAACUUAGUUAUAGCUGGUUGCCUAAGAAAUGGAUAGAAGUUCAGCCUCACACCCCUUAAAACAAGACCUCAUAAACUAUGAUAAUAAGAGAUAAGUGAGAGUUAGUCAAAGGGGGUACAGCCCCUUUGAAAUAGGAAACAACCUACACAGGAGGUUAAGGAUUAUACUUAUAAAGAUUACCGCUUCAGUGGGCCUAAAAGCAGCCAUCUGGACAGAAAGCGUUAAAGCUCAAGCAGACCAAAAUCACUUAUACCAAUAUUCUACUCCAAAACCCCUAACAUUAUUAGGCCGUCCCAUGCCAACAUGGAAACGACACUGCUAAAAUGAGUAAUAAGAAGGUUAAACAUUUAGACCUUCUCCUAGCCUAAGUGUAAAUUAGAAUGGACCAACCACUAAAACAUUUAACGAACCCAAACACAAGAGGGAAGUGUGAGCCAAAAAAAUAACAAGAAAACCUCACACAAGUACAUCGUUAACCCCACACCGGAGGGCUAUAAAGGAAAGACUAAAAGAAGAGGAAGGAACUCGGCAAAAAUUUAAGCCUCGCCUGUUUACCAAAAACAUCGCCUCCCGCAAAAAUCAACGUAUAGGAGGUCCUGCCUGCCCAGUGACUAUGUUAAACGGCCGCGGUAUUUUGACCGUGCAAAGGUAGCGCAAUCACUUGUCUUUUAAAUGAAGACCUGUAUGAAUGGUAGAACGAGGGCCUAACUGUCUCCCCCUUCAAGUCAAUGAAAUUGGUCUAUCCGUGCAGAAACGGAUAUAAAAAUACAAGACGAGAAGACCCUUUGGAGCUUAAGAUUAAAAAUCAACUAUGUUAAUUAUCUAUGAGUAAAACUAAAUAGCAACUGAUUAUAAUCUUCGGUUGGGGCGACCACGGAAUAAAAAUAAACUUCCACAUGGACUGAGGACUAACCUUAAAACUAAGAAAAACAUUUCUAAGUCACAGAAUUUCUGACCACACAGAUCCGGCAAACUGCCGAUCAAUGGACCAAGUUACCCUAGGGAUAACAGCGCAAUCCCCUUUUAGAGUUCCUAUCGACAAGGGGGUUUACGACCUCGAUGUUGGAUCAGGACAUCCUAAUGGUGCAGCCGCUAUUAAGGGUUCGUUUGUUCAACGAUUAAAGUCCUACGUGAUCUGAGUUCAGACCGGAGUAAUCCAGGUCAGUUUCUAUCUGUAAAGCUAUUUUUCCUAGUACGAAAGGACCGGAAAAAUGGGGCCUAUAUUUAUGGUAAGCCCCCACCCAAUCUAAUGAAAACAACUAAAAUAGAUAAAGGAGAGCACAAACUAUAAAUUUAGAUAAAAUU